rnacentral:rRNA from 1 species
GAUGAACGCUGGCGGCGUGCCUAAUACAUGCAAGUCGAGCGAACAGACGAGGAGCUUGCUCCUCUGACGUUAGCGGCGGACGGGUGAGUAACACGUGGAUAACCUACCUAUAAGACUGGGAUAACUUCGGGAAACCGGAGCUAAUACCGGAUAAUAUAUUGAACCGCAUGGUUCAAUAGUGAAAGACGGUUUUGCUGUCACUUAUAGAUGGAUCCGCGCCGCAUUAGCUAGUUGGUAAGGUAACGGCUUACCAAGGCAACGAUGCGUAGCCGACCUGAGAGGGUGAUCGGCCACACUGGAACUGGGACACGGACCAGAGUCCUACGGGAGGCAGCAGUAGGGAAUCUUACGCAAUGGGCGAAAGCCUGACGGAGCAACGCCGCGUGAGUGAUGAAGGUCUUCGGAUCGUAAAACUCUGUUAUUAGGGAAGAACAAAUGUGUAAGGAACUAUGCACGUCUUGACGGUACCUAAUCAGAAAGCCACGGCUAACUACGUG